rnacentral:rRNA from 1 species
GAUGAACGCUAGCGACAGGCUUAACACAUGCAAGUCGAGGGGCAGCAUAAAAGUAGCAAUACUUUGGUGGCGACCGGCGCACGGGUGAGUAACGCGUAUGCAACCUAUCUAUCAGAGGGGGAUAACCCGGCGAAAGUCGGACUAAUACCGCAUAAAACAGGGGCACCGCAUGGUGAUAUUUGUUAAAAAUUUAUUGCUGAUAGAUGGGCAUGCGUUCCAUUAGGUAGUUGGAGAGGUAACGGCUCACCAAGCCUACGAUGGAUAGGGGAACUGAGAGGUUGGUCCCCCACACUGGUACUGAGACACGGACCAGACUCCUACGGGAGGCAGCAGCGAGGAAUAUUGGUCAAUGGGCGAGAGCCUGAACCAGCCAAGUCGCGUGAAGGAAGAAGGAUCUAUGGUUCGUAAACUUCUUUUGCAGGGGAAUAAAGUGCAGGACGUGUCCUGUUUUGUAUGUACCCUGAGAAUAAGGAUCGGCUAACUCCGUGCCAGCAGCCGCGGUAA